CCUACGGGAGGCAGCAGUGAGGAAUAUUGGUCAAUGGGCGCGAGCCUGAACCAGCCAAGUAGCGUGAAGGAUGACUGCCCUACGGGUUGUAAACUUCUUUUAUAAAGGAAUAAAGUGCGGCACGUGUGCCUUUUUGUAUGUACUUUAUGAAUAAGGAUCGGCUAACUCCGUGCCAGCAGCCGCGGUAAUACGGAGGAUCCGAGCGUUAUCCGGAUUUAUUGGGUGUAAAGGGAGCGUAGGUGGGUUGUUAAGUCAGUUGUGAAAGUUUGGGGCUCAACUGUAAAAUUGCAAUUGAUACUGGAAGUCUAGAGUACAGUUGAGGUAGGCGGAAUUCGUGGUGUAGCGGUGAAAUGCUUAGAUAUCACGAAGAACUCCGAUAGCGAAGGCAGCUAACUAGAUUGACACUGACAUUGAGGCGCGAAAGUGUGGGUAUCAAACAGGAUUAGAUACCCCUGUAGUC
rnacentral:rRNA from 1 species